GGAGGGAUCUCUGGAGAGAGGUAAGCCAGACUUACCCGCCGAAGGAGCAAGCUCAUUAGCCCAAACAUUGGCUGUUUAUGAGUGAAACUCUCAGGCAAAAGGACAGAGGAGAUAAC
rnacentral:ncRNA from 2 species